AGAGGCAUUUUCUCCAAUGUUCUGGUCUUAAUGUACAAUGGCAAGAACUCAUUUAACUUUGAUUGUUGGUGUCGUUCUACCAGGAACACAGACUCCUUGCAAGAGUGACUUCUAUCUUGGCUUAUGCUGAUGGUCCCAAGUGUCACCCGGUUCCGUGAAAGAAGAAAGGAUGAAGGUGCAGAAAGCCAAUCUUUAAUGGACCUGGAUGCGUUGUACACACCCCCAUGCCAACCCUCCCAGCAGCUGUCAUCCCUACUGGACAGACGAGGAUUCACCAUCCUGAACCAGGAGAAGCAGCUAAAAACCCUGGAUUCCAGCUCCGGUGCCAUCUAGACAGAGAUCCCGUCAGAAUGGACCCUGGUGGAAAUUGAGCCUUUCAAAGUAACGUCAACAUGAUACUGGCACCUGGCCUUGGGUCUCUUUACAAAGGAAAGGGGAGGAGCAAAUUCAGGUAAACACCAGGAGAGAGGUAAUCCCCGUCCUCUGUGGCUCCUAGCACUGACCUCCACCAAGGCCAGCCUAUAAGGGUUGGUGUCAAUGAUGUAAAGCUUGAAACUUGAUCCCUUCCCAGGGAACAGAAUGGGGGUGCGGUUCUUGAGAAACCAGACUGAAGAGAAAUUAGCCUUCACCAGCUGCUCCUGUAAUUGCAUUUAAAUUCAGUUAAACUAAUUUCUUACACUUGAUAAAAGCAGUUGUCUUUCCAAAUCAUCCUCAGACUCCUCCAUUCCAAACACAAUAUAAGUAUACCACAGCCUGGUUAGAGAGGUCCUUCCUUCUGGGCCUCUUUGUCACCUUACCUCUGUUCUUGGCCCUUUGCUGGGGCACAGUUUUUUGUAAAGAGCUCAGAAAGCUGAACUGCCCUAUUAGCAUAAGAGUCUGUGACUCAUUGACUCACAGAUUGUAAAUCACACUCACAUGGGAUUUUAAUUAAUUAUAUUAAUUUUAGGGGAAACAACAAAACUGAAAAGUCUACAGUGCUUCAUUUACUGAGAAACUCUGAAAUGUCUUUUAUUUUUAGCAAGAGCCAUAAAAACAUCUCAUACUGAAAUAAUGCAAAAAUCAAGGAAGGGUUGUAUUACUCAGCGUGAUCGCGCCCUUUAAAAGGCUUUGACAUUUUCUUUAUUUUUGUAAGGUUUUUUAGAAAGAAAAAAAUAUAUAUUAUAUUACAUACACAUCUACACAUGCAUACGCUACCCAGAUCCUCUCUGCAAGAAUAUUCACUACUGACUGCAAUUUGGUGUAAGGUGGUUCUAUCUUAGACCCUCUCAAAGGGAGAUUAAUUACUAAAUUAUCAUAAAGAACAUGCAAUUAGUUAUCUUCAUUUAAGAGACUGCCCCAUGGUAAGAGACUCUCAAAUACUUGUAUGCACAUACACACUUCAUUCGUUGUUUAUUAUGCAUUUGCAUUUAUUCAUUUAGUCAAGCUAAUAUAUAUCAGGGCCUACUAUGUGCCUAACACCUUGCAGGGGCUGACAGUACAAGGUGAACUUAAUAAGACCAGUCUGGAGGUGGAGGUGCAUAGAGUUCCACAUGGUUAAGCAGCAUCAUAGAAUCAAGGGUACAGGGCUGUGGGAACAAGGAGGGAGCAUCUGAGGGCAUCAGAGAGAAAGGGAAAGGACAGAGGGGCAGUGACAUAAAGGAAAGCCAAGAGUGAAGAUCUACAGGUUUUAGUUCAGGAAGUGACUCUUACCCACCAUGUGUGUGUCAGACACUAGCCAGGUGCUGGGGAAGCCAGCAGUGAGCAAGCUAGACACAGCCACCCCUAUUUUGGAAUUUACAAUGUAAUUAGGAGACGUUAGUCAAAUAAUAACACAGGAAUAAAAUUGCUAUUUUGGUAAGAACCUUUAAGGAAAAAGUACAGGGGCUUUAAGAGUAUACACCAUGUAGCUAAGCUACAUGGUGAAAAUGAGGGUUGGCUUGCUUGAGAAAGUGACAACAGAGCAGAGACCUGACAAAUUAACAGGCAUGGCCAGAGGAGGGACAGUGGGAAGAGUGUUCCAAGUAGAAGGAACAGAUAGGCAAAGCACUAUUAGAGAAAGCUUGGAAUUUUCUAGAAACCGGAAAGAAGUCAGAGUGAGUGGAACACA